rnacentral:rRNA from 1 species
GACGAACGCUGGCGGCGUGCUUAACACAUGCAAGUCGAACGGAGAGGCCCUGCUUUUGUGGGGUGCUCGAGUGGCGAACGGGUGAGUAACACGUGAGUAACCUGCCCUUGACUUUGGGAUAACUUCAGGAAACUGGGGCUAAUACCGGAUAGGAGCUCCUGCUGCAUGGUGGGGGUUGGAAAGUUUCGGCGGGUGGGGAUGGACUCGCGGCUUAUCAGCUUGUUGGUGGGGUAGUGGCUUACCAAGGCUUUGACGGGUAGCCGGCCUGAGAGGGUGACCGGCCACAUGGGGACUGAGAUACGGCGCAGACUCCUACGGGAGGCAGCAGUGGGGAAUAUUGCACAAUGGGCGGAAGCCUGAUGCAGCAACGCCGCGUGCGGGAUGACGGCCUUCGGGUUGUAAACCGCUUUCGCCUGUGACGAAGCGUGAGUGACGGUAAUGGGUAAAGAAGCACCGGCUAACUACGUG